AUUGAACGCAGGCGGCAUGCCUUACACAUGCAAGUCGAACGGCAGCACGGACUUCGGUCUGGUGGCGAGUAGCGAACGGGUGAGUAAUGUAUCGGAACGUACCUUUCAGUGGGGGAUAACGUAGCGAAAGUUACGCUAAUACCGCAUAUUCUGUGAGCAGGAAAGCAGGGGAUCGCAAGACCUUGCGCUGAUUGAGCGGCCGAUAUCAGAUUAGCUAGUUGGUGGGGUAAAGGCCUACCAAGGCUACGAUCUGUAGCGGGUCUGAGAGGAUGAUCCGCCACACUGGAACUGAGACACGGUCCAGACUCCUACGGGAGGCAGCAGUGGGGAAUUUUGGACAAUGGGGGCAACCCUGAUCCAGCCAUGCCGCGUGAGUGAAGAAGGCCUUCGGGUUGUAAAGCUCUUUCGGCCGGGAAGAAAUCGCAUCAGCUAAUACCUGGUGUGGAUGACGGUACCGGAAUAAGAAGCACCGGCUAACUACGUGCCAGCAGCCGCGGUAAUACGUAGGGUGCGAGCGUUAAUCGGAAUUACUGGGCGUAAAGCGUGCGCAGGCGGUUGUGUAAGACAGGCGUGAAAUCCCCGGGCUCAACCUGGGAACUGCGCUUGUGACUGCACAGCUAGAGUACGGCAGAGGGGGGUGGAAUUCCACGUGUAGCAGUGAAAUGCGUAGAGAUGUGGAGGAACACCGAUGGCGAAGGCAGCCCCCUGGGCCGAUACUGACGCUCAUGCACGAAAGCGUGGGUAGCAAACAGGAUUAGAUACCCUGGUAGUCCACGCCCUAAACGAUGUCAACUAGGUGUUGGGUGGGUAAAACCAUUUAGUACCGUAGCUAACGCGUGAAGUUGACCGCCUGGGGAGUACGGCCGCAAGGUUAAAACUCAAAGGAAUUGACGGGGACCCGCACAAGCGGUGGAUGAUGUGGAUUAAUUCGAUGCAACGCGAAAAACCUUACCUACCCUUGACAUGUCCAGAAGCCCGAAGAGAUUUGGGUGUGCCCGAAAGGGAACUGGAACACAGGUGCUGCAUGGCUGUCGUCAGCUCGUGUCGUGAGAUGUUGGGUUAAGUCCCGCAACGAGCGCAACCCUUGUCGUUAAUUGCCAUCAUUUAGUUGGGCACUUUAACGAGACUGCCGGUGACAAACCGGAGGAAGGUGGGGAUGACGUCAAGUCCUCAUGGCCCUUAUGGGCAGGGCUUCACACGUCAUACAAUGGUCGGUACAGAGGGUUGCCAAGCCGCGAGGUGGAGCCAAUCCCAGAAAGCCGAUCGUAGUCCGGAUUGCAGGCUGCAACUCGCCUGCAUGAAGUCGGAAUCGCUAGUAAUCGCGGAUCAGCAUGUCGCGGUGAAUACGUUCCCGGGUCU
rnacentral:rRNA from 1 species